ACGAUGUCCGGCAACAGUAAUCCAAGAUGGUGAUACAUACCAACCAGGCUUAAAGAACCAUCUUCACCCAGCAGAACCCGGUAUACAGACGGCUACCAAGAUAAAAGUUACAGCAAAGCAUGAAGCCAAAGGAAAUGUUUUUACCAAGUCAUGUUCCUCAAUAGCGGAGAGAGUUUUAUCCAGUGUCGGUUCUGCAGAAGAACCCAUUCAUAGCAGACCACCCAUGGCAGCACUUGUAAGGUCGCUACAAAGAACCCGACAGACUCUGCGACCAAAAGAUCCCACUGACGUGUCGUCAAGCCUUGACGAAGAUUUCAUUGAUCAUAGUGCACCGGGAUUUUAUCAAAAAAGAGUAAAAGUUGGGGAAAGGCGCCAUCACAUUUUUUGUACUGAUAGACAGAUGCAACUACUCGCACGCGCAAAAACUUGGUAUAUGGAUGCAACUUUUCGGGUGGUGAACAAGCCAUGGUCUCAGCUGUUUUCCAUCCACGCCUUCAUUAAGACUGGAGAGACCACCCGACAGUUACCAUUGGUGUUUUGUGUAAUGUCGGGUAAAAGCCAAGACGACUAUUAUAAGCAAUAAUUAUUGAGAAUUUACCAAGGACUCCAUUGGCAUUGAAUCGAAGAAAAACAGUUUCAAUAUUGGAUGUAUAUGCAAAUCACCCAGAAAAAGAUCAUGUAAUUACAAAAGAAAUUAUAAAAGAAAAAAAUGGAAGAAGAAAUGGCUGGAAAAAAUGAUGAUAGAGCAGCUUUUUCUUGUUACCCACCUCGGAAGAUCAAGUUGGAAAGGGCUAUUGAUAUUGUGGAGACGUUUUCUCACAGAUCUUGCUUAUCAGACAAAGACUAUGCUGGAACACCAUUGAAAGAGUAUUUGCUGUAUGAUAACAACAAGAAAACCCAAGCAUCAAUUUAUUUUAUACUUCUGGGAAAGAAUGCAUUUGACCCAAUUUUUAAAUAUUUAUUUUUUGUUAUUAAUGUUAACUUUUCUUCCAAAACACAAUUAGAUUUUAAUUCUCUUCAGAAAUGUAUGUAUAAUAUAGCAAGUAAAGUGACAUAUAAAUCACUUAGAAUUUGGUCAGAAAUCAUAAAGUAUUUAAUAGGCAUUACUAGAAACCAAAUGUAGAUCAAAUACACCCGGAAUUACAAAAAACCUUGACCUACAUAAAGGUGACUUUCCCUUGCUUAUGAAAUGAAAUACGGUUUAGUAUCCUACUUUUCUGUGUUCUUAGAGUGAUUCUGCCCUACACCCUACUCUUAUAUAAAAUAUUGCAACUGUCAAGGGUUCUUUAACGGGAACCCGGGGGGGGGGGAGGCAAUGAUUAA